GACGAACGCUGGCGGCGUGCUUAACACAUGCAAGUCGAACGAAGUGGCGAACGGGUAAGUAAUACGUGGGUAACCUGCCCUCCUUUUUGGGUAAGCCUUGGAAACGGGGUCUAAUACAGAAUGAAGGGGGAUGGGCUCGGGGCCUAUCAGCUUGUUGGUGGGGUGAUGGCCUACCAAGGCGGCGAAGGGUAGCUGGCCUGAUAGGGUGAACGGCCACAUUGGGACGGAGAUACCGCCCAGAGACCUACGGGGGGGAGAAGUGUGGGAUAUUGCACAAUGGGCGAAGGACUGAUGCAGCGAGGCCGAGGGGGGGAUGAAGGCUUUCGGGUUUUAAACCUCUUUAGCAAUCGAGUCGGUAGGUGGAGAAGAAGCGCCGGCUAACUACGUGCCAGCCGCCGCGGUAAUAC
rnacentral:rRNA from 1 species